rnacentral:misc_RNA from 1 species
AUUAGUUACCCUCUAAUUGUGUUGUCAUUAACACCAAAAUAAAUGAGGGGUCCUAGAUGCACUUUCAAUCUCCCCCUUUUUGGUGAUUGAUGACAACACAAUUAGAAGUAAUAAAA